CUUUCUGAAAUUACAAGUCUUUUUCCAAUUUUUGUUUUGUUUUGUUUUUAUUUUUUGGUAGGAUGGACCUAUUUUUUUGCUUGGAAAAUAAGAUGUUCUCUGCUUCUGGCACACUGGUGAAAAUCGGUAAUUAAGGACACUGGUAAUAGUAUAUGGAUCCUGUUGGAGAUAGAGUAUCAUACAAGUAUUGGAUGAAUAGCAAACAGCCUUGCUGCUACAUUUCAAGGCGCAGCCUGAGUCUUGGUGUGCAGAAUAUCAUCCCAUGA
rnacentral:lncRNA from 1 species